rnacentral:rRNA from 1 species
AUUGAACGCUGGCGGAAUGCUUUACACAUGCAAGUCGAACGGCAGCACGGACUUCGGUCUGGUGGCGAGUGGCGAACGGGUGAGUAACAUAUCGGAACGUAUCCAAUAAUGGGGGAUAACGAGUCGAAAGAUUCGCUAAUACCGCAUACGCCCUACGGGGGAAAGCUGGGGACCUUCGGGCCUGGCGUUAAUGGUGCGGCCGAUAUCUGAUUAGCUAGUUGGUGAGGUAAAGGCUCACCAAGGCGACGAUCAGGAGCUGGUCUGAGAGGACGACCAGCCACACUGGAACUGAGACACGGUCCAGACUCCUACGGGAGGCAGCAGUGGGGAAUUUUGGACAAUGGGCGCAAGCCUGAUCCAGCCAUUCCGCGUGAGUGAAGAAGGCCUUCGGGUUGUAAAGCCCUUUCGCAAGGGAAGAAAACUUAGCCACUAACAUUGGUUGAGGUUGACGGUACCUUGAUAAGAAGCACCGGCUAACUACGUGCCAGCAGCCGCAGUAA